rnacentral:rRNA from 1 species
CGUGAGGGAAAGGCGAAAAGAACCCCGGCGAGGGGAGUGAAAAAGAACCUGAAACCGUGUACGUACAAGCAGUGGGAGCACGCUUAGGCGUGUGACUGCGUACCUUUUGUAUAAUGGGUCAGCGACUUAUAUUCUGUAGCAAGGUUAACCGAAUAGGGGAGCCGAAGGGAAACCGAGUCUUAACUGGGCGUUAAGUUGCAGGGUAUAGACCCGAAACCCGGUGAUCUAGCCAUGGGCAGGUUGAAGGUUGGGUAACACUAACUGGAGGACCGAACCGACUAAUGUUGAAAAAUUAGCGGAUGACUUGUGGCUGGGGGUGAAAGGCCAAUCAAACCGGGAGAUAGCUGGUUCUCCCCGAAAGCUAUUUAGGUAGCGCCUCGUGAAUUCAUCUCCGGGGGUAGAGCACUGUUUCGGCAAGGGGGUCAUCCCGACUUACCAACCCGAUGCAAACUGCGAAUACCGGAGAAUGUUAUCACGGGAGACACACGGCGGGUGCUAACGUCCGUCGUGAAGAGGGAAACAACCCAGACCGCCAGCUAAGGUCCCAAAGUCAUGGUUAAGUGGGAAACGAUGUGGGAAGGCCCAGACAGCCAGGAUGUUGGCUUAGAAGCAGCCAUCAUUUAAAGAAAGCGUAAUAGCUCACUGGUCGAGUCGGCCUGCGCGGAAGAUGUAACGGGGCUAAACCAUGCAC